rnacentral:lncRNA from 1 species
GGGUGUGUGUGACCGUGAGAACAAGACCAAGGGGGAAACCCUAUUUCUUCAAAAUCUUGCAAAUUAAAGGAGAAAAGGGCUAAAUUUUGAAUGCAUGAACUAAGAAUGAUGAUCAUCUAAGCAUACCCAACAUCAAUAUGAAUGUAUGUUGGAACGUGUCAAGGAGAGGUCAAGCAUAGGAGGAUAACGGGUCAAGAUAAGGCAAGGUGACAAAUACACUUAUUGGAGUACUCGAGGUAAGUGAAUUUCGAUUCACUUUUUAGUAGGUUUAAUAGAUUUUAAUACUUAUGUUUACGAAACAUCAUGAAAGAACAUGUGAUAAUCAGAAGUACAAAGCCAAUAAUGCCUCAUUAUUGAAGAAGGUUGUAUUUAAGCCGAAAGUAAAUUGGUGGGUUUAAACGGGUCGAAUUUUAUGUGCAUAUGUUGCGUAAUGUAAUGAAAUUCGUUAUGGUUAAGACCUUGGGUAAGAAUUUUAGUCAUUAUGUAAGGGGAACAUUUCCCGGACCAUUAGGAACAAGUUUUAUAUGAUUCGGUUGUCGGUUAGUGAAUGAACGGAUUGUUUCGUGUUAGUGUAGGAAAUUUUAUAAGUAUAUGUGUAUGGGAAUCCAAAGGCCACGUGGGUUGAAUCGUAGAUUGUCUAUACUAUGUAAAGUUGUAAAUGUGACAUUCCGGCAUAAACCUACAUGUAAAAGAAGCUUGUGUAUAUAUUCGUGAUUAAUUGAUUGUGCGUAGGAAGGAACAUUGGCAUGUAUGAAGGUACGCAUAUAUAUAUAUAUAUGUAUGUAUGUAUGAUAAUAAGUACGUAGGUGUGAAUGUAUGUGUGAAUGAAUGUUCAAUGCUUAAGACAUAUGCAUGAACGUAUCAAAGUGUUCGAGUAUUUAUGGAUACUAAUGAUGUGCGUUGAGUUGGAAUGUAAUGUAGGUAUGGGAUCGUUGGCUUCAUGAAGAAAUGGAGCUGGAUUUGGAUAAGAGUAUUUAAGAAAGCGCUUGGACAAUUCCACGACUACUUUAUAGAAUGCUCUACGAAAUUUUAUUAUAUAGUUUAAUGUUGAAUGGUAUGUUAAUGACUAACGGUUUGGUUGUACGUGGUGUCCACAGGUAUCGCUUGGGUUUUCUCUACAUUUAUUGAAGUGAAGCGGACUUAGUUCGAGUUGAGAGCAAGGAUUGUACGGGGUAGAAUGGUCACAUAGUGUAACUCAUAUAGGUUUUGAAGUAUUAAUGUUAUAAAACGUUAUAAAUCCGUUUUAAUGAAUAUAUGGCAUUUCGCAUUUGAACCUUCAUGUGUUUGAUAUGUCUAUUAAAGAACGAAAUUUUUGGGCUCUUGUUUUCCGCUGCGUCGUAUUUUAAGUUAUUACGCGUUAGUCUUACAGGGAAUUGUUCUUAUUACGAACGGGUCAUGCCCGAAUUUUGUUAAAUAAUAGUAUGAUAAUAUUACAUUUUGGAAUGUGUAAUUUGGGUGUAACAAGUUGGUAUCAGAGCCCUGGUUUGAGAGAAUUAAGUACGAGAGUAUAAGUACUUGAACUCAAACCUGUGUGCUCUUGUGAUAAGGAACCCGUACAAUCCAUGACUCGAUCAAGAUCUAAAGGUAGAAAUGGAACGAAAAUGUGUAAGUAUGUAUUAGAUUAUGUAUUUGAAAGAAACUAAUAGUGUGUUAUGUGCAAGGUAAGCUUAAGAGCUUGAAGAGGAUGAUCCGUGAAUACAGAAUAGGAUGAACGCUAAGGCGGGCAAAGGUGCAGAUAGGCAAAUUAACCCCAGGUACACAUUACUAAUAUGUAUGAGUACCGAUGUCAAAAGAAAAAGGAAGGGGUCUCCUUGGGAGGGAAAUUAUUAAACGAAAGACAAUGAUGUGGUCUUGGGGAAGUUUUAGAAAUGUGCACGAAACUGAAACCCAUUUCUCGGGCAUAAGGCGAUGAUUACACGAAGGCACGAAACUAGUGUGUGAAUUGCGCACCUGGCCAGUACGCAAGAAGCAUAUGACGUUCGUGAGACCGUGGCAAUUAUUGCAGGUAUGUCCGGUAGAACUGGGUAGCAGGUGGGCGCUAUGUUGUAGCGAAUGCGAAAUAGCAAAUCCAUUGCGGAUUUGGUUAUGCUAACGAAGAUUAUGAAAAGUUAGGCGAGUCGACCGGUUCUAGCGAACAAGUCGAAUAAGAAUAAGCUACCAUCCGUUUUGAACGGGUGAUUUUGAAUGCCCUAAUGAAUGCUAGAAGCUUAAUCCGUUAUACGGAUUAAAAGAAGAAGUUAU